rnacentral:rRNA from 2 species
UGGGGGAUAUUGCACAAUGGGCGAAAGCCUGAUGCAGCGACGCCGCGUGGGGGAUGAAGGCUUUCGGGUUGUAAACCUCUUUCGCUAUCGAACAAGGCCCGCUUAGGGUGGGUUGAGGGUAGGUGGAGAAGAAGCGCCGGCUAACUACGUGCCAGCAGCCGCGGUAAUACGUAGGGCGAGAGCGUUGUCCGGAAUUAUUGGGCGUAAAGGGCUUGUAGGCGGCUUGUUGCGCCUGCUGUGAAAACGCGGGGCUUAACUUCGCGCGUGCAGUGGGUACGGGCAGGCUUGAGUGUGGUAGGGGUGACUGGAAUUCCAGGUGUAGCGGUGGAAUGCGCAGAUAUCUGGAGGAACACCGAUGGCGAAGGCAGGUCACUGGGCCAUUACUGACGCUGAGGAGCGAAAGCAUGGGUAGCGAACAGG